CCUACGGGAGGCAGCAGUGAGGAAUAUUGGUCAAUGGACGAGAGUCUGAACCAGCCAAGUAGCGUGAAGGAUGACUGCCCUAUGGGUUGUAAACUUCUUUUAUAAAGGAAUAAAACGAGGCACGUGUGCCUUUUUGCAUGUACUUUAUGAAUAAGGAUCGGCUAACUCCGUGCCAGCAGCCGCGGUAAUACGGAGGAUCCGAGCGUUAUCCGGAUUUAUUGGGUUUAAAGGGAGCGUAGAUGGGUUGUUAAGUCAGUUGUGAAAGUUUGCGGCUCAACCGUAAAAUUGCAAUUGAUACUGGCAGGCUGGAGUACAGUUGAGGUAAGCGGAAUUCGUGGUGUAGCGGUGAAAUGCUUAGAUAUCACGAAGAACCCCGAUGGCGAAGGCAGCUUACUAAACUGUGACUGACAUUGAUGCUCGAAAGUGUGGGUAUCAAACAGGAUUAGAUACCCUGGUAGUC
rnacentral:rRNA from 1 species